UCCGAUAUGGUGUAGUGGCCAACAUGAUGCCCUCUCAUGCACUUGAGAGGUUAGGCAUAGCCCCGAGUUCGAUUCUCGGUUUCGGAA